rnacentral:rRNA from 1 species
UACGGGGGGGGGCAAGCGUUGUUCGGAAUUACUGGGCGUAAAGGGCGCGUAGGCGGCUUUGCAAGUGACGGGUGAAAGCCCUCGGCUUAACCGAGGAACUGCCUGUCAGACUGUGAGGCUUGAGACCGGGAGAGGUGAGUGGAAUUCCCAGUGUAGCGGUGAAAUGCGUAGAUAUUGGGAGGAACACCAGUGGCGAAGGCGGCUCACUGGACCGGAACUGACGCUGAGGCUCGAAAGCUAGGGGAGCAAACAGG